GAUGAACGCUGGCGGCGUGCCUAAUACAUGCAAGUCGAGCGAACAGACGAGGAGCUUGCUCCUCUGACGUUAGCGGCGGACGGGUGAGUAACACGUGGAUAACCUACCUAUAAGACUGGGAUAACUUCGGGAAACCGGAGCUAAUACCGGAUAAUAUAUUGAACCGCAUGGUUCAAUAGUGAAAGACGGUUUUGCUGUCACUUAUAGAUGGAUCCGCGCCGCAUUAGCUAGUUGGUAAGGUAACGGCUUACCAAGGCGACGAUGCGUAGCCGACCUGAGAGGGUGAGCGGCCACACUGGAACUGAGACACGGUCCAGACUACUACGGGAGGCAGCAGUAGGGAAUCUUCCGCAAUGGGCGAAAGCCUGACGGAGCAACGCCGCGUGAGUGAUGAAGGUCUUCGGAUCGUAAAACUCUGUUAUUAGGGAAGAACAAAUGUGUAAGUAACUAUGCACGUCUUGACGGUACCUAAUCAGAAAGCCACGGCUAACUACGUG
rnacentral:rRNA from 1 species